rnacentral:rRNA from 1 species
UACGUAGGUGGCGAGCGUUGUCCGGAAUUACUGGGUGUAAAGCGCGCGUAGGCGGGAGGCCAAGUCCGCUGUGAAAUCGCCCGGCUCAACUGGGCGCGGUCGGUGGAAACUGGUCACCUGGAGGACGGUAGAGGCGAGUGGAAUUCCCGGUGUAGUGGUGAAAUGCGUAGAGAUCGGGAGGAACACCAGUGGCGAAGGCGGCGACCUGGGCAGAUACUGACACUGAGGUGCGAAAGCGUGGGGAGCAAACAGG